GUGGUGAAGGGAAAGAACAACAGACUUCACAAAAACAGUGUUAACUCCACAGGAAGAGGGAGAGAAGGCUAAUCACAGUUCCUCUUCUCAUUGUAAAUUUUGCCUCUUCUUUCAGUUCUUUGGGGCAAUGAAACCUUUCUCUGCUCUCUGUGCGAGUGCUGUGACCUGAUAAGCCUUCUAAAUUGUAACACAAUGCUGAUGAAAAGAAAAGAUAAGUGGAGUGAAAAGCAGCGUGAUAACUUGCAGGAAGUUAUCUCAUGCAUGUGGUUUUGUCUGAUGCUCCAAAAUACUGGAAGAUGAAUGAAACCAAAAAUCCAGUCCCUGUUACUGAAUGUCGUAGGCUUCCUUUGUAUACACGGAGCUUUUUUAUUUACCCUUUCUUACAUGGUCAACAGUGAAUAAUGGUAUUUAAUGUCAUUGUACUGCUAAUACCAAAGUAGCAGUUUUACGUAUUCAGAACUAGUGGAGUCCUGGCAUCUAACAGUUCAUGGAUGACUGGAUGGAUUAUGAAGUGCUACACUGGCAUUUUAUUGGAUAUGGAUUAAACAGUGCUGAAAGCUAAAAAAGAGUGUAACUUCAUCCAGCCUUGGAGAUGGAAGACAGAAUUUGUUUCUCACUGGACCUUGGUGUCUGGUCUUGGUACUUAUGGAUGAGCAUGGAUAAGAAAGGCUUUUCAAAGGUAACCAGGAAGGAUGGUUAACUUGCAUAUUCCCCUCACUGGUUGGAAGACCACAUUUGUUUUGUAGCCAGCCUGCAUUUGAGCUAGGCUUUGGGCCACAGAGCGCUGCAUCCCUUGGCAGAGGAAUACAGGAAGAAGGUUACACUUGACAGUGUCUUUGUAUUGUCUAUGUUUAUGUACAUUUAAAAGAGAUGAAUAAAGUGGUUGAUCCCAUUCUGAGCUGUUGUUUCAAGGCACCUGUAGAUGCAAGAAGGUGUUACAUUGGUUUAUAUAUGAUUCAAAUUACCAAACAGCUAGAGUCCUGCUUCCUCAUCUGAUUCAAUUUUGUCUGUAGCUUUGGAGCACAAGUUUUCCAUUGAAACAGUGGGAGUAGAAGUGAUAACUGUAUGCACAUCCUCAUUUCCCUUUCAUUGGCUCAGGGGUUAACUUCCUGCCCUAUAGGGGAUCUUGGUUAACUCAAUUGUCAAGACAACUCUCAGCAGGACUGAGACCUUGUGUCAAAACCUGUGUUUGCCACAAUGAAUGCUUUAAAACAAAGCACAAACCCACCAGACAGUAUGUGGUAGUUCAAGAUUGUAUCUGAUGAUGGAACAUUUCCACGGAAAAAACCCUGAACCACAAUUAUUUGUUCUGUGGAAACCAAACUUUUUUUUUCUUCACACCAGUUGGUUCUAUUCAUCUAUGUUUAAUUAUAUUGAAAUUAUCUAUGUGAAUUAAAAGAGAAGCAAAAUUAGAAAAACUAAGAGGGAGGAAUGCUAUACAGAAGAAAACAUGUCAUGGUCUUCCAAGCAGCUAAAAGGAUUUGAAGAUGCUGAAUAGAGCAAAAAGGCACCCCAUGUCAUUAAUUAUGUCUACCAGUGAUUUGGAACAGAGAGCAUGCUUAAUUCUGUGAGACUGCAAUACUUGGCAUGAUAUAGAAGUGUCACGCAGACAGAAAUUAAUAUCACCAUUUAUAAUAUAAAUGACAAUAUCUGUGUGACAGGCUUCAUUACCAGAUAAUACCUAUCUGGACUAAAAAUUUAAAUUUUACAACAAUAGCAGCACAUUAGUUCUCUUGACAAUAGAGCUACACAGCUGUUAAAGUCUCUGCAAGGACAUUUAAAAUCUUCCAAAAUGACAUGUACCCUGUGUUCACAAAUGCACUGGGCUGUAGAAUUCACUGUUUAUUAUUUGUGAUUGUGAGAAUCUGUUUUUUCUCAUUCAAACUGCUGCUGCUUUUAUUAUAUGUGGUUUCAUUAGAAAUCCACUUUGCUUCAAAAGUCUUGGGCUUUUUAAGCAAUACACUGUCAGAGGCCUCACAAAUGCUCUUAGAUAGAUACUGAACUAAUAUUGAGUUUACCUAUUAAAGACAAGAACAUCUAAGAAGCCACCGUCUUUGGUCACUUCAGACUCUCUUGAGAGUGCCUUGAGGGAGCUUUGUGAUGCUGUGCCGACUGUUUCACACGCUAAGCCCAUAAGCCAUAUUCUAUUGGCUAAAGCUUUCCCAAUUUGUGAGUGUAUUUGGUCAUAUUAAGAAGAGUUUGAGAAGAGCUUGUGGAGAAUUAGAAAUUCUUAUUCAGAAUCUAGUAGCUGCUCAUUGUUACUCUGUGCUUUGCUUUUUCUAAUGUCAAUUUCAAUUAUUUUCAUUUCUGAAAAAUCAUCUCAGUAACACCUUGGGAGGAGGAAUAACAGUAUAUAGAGUUGUUUGGAAGCUACUAGCUCAAUAAAUAUAAUUUCUGUCCAGCCCAUGCAUAAUCCUAAAAUUUUCUACUACUAUGAUGCCACUACUGGUAUUCUAAGUAUGGCUCAGUUUCAUUUGAAUUAGACCAUUUGGGAAUGGGAGAUGACAGCAGCAGAGCCUUUAAGACACCAGUAAGUUAGCUGAGAUCACUCCUUAGUCCAUAAUCCUCUUCUUUUCAAUAUAGUAAGCCAAUGCUAUUAUUUGCACAUCUCCAAAGACUGAUUUAUUUGGGUUAGAACUGCAAAAUUAAUAGAAAUAUUGAAUAUUUGAGGGGUUUUUCUUUUUAAUGAAAUAAAUUUGUAUGAAUUCUGAAUACCAUGUAAACCAGCCACUUCUACACAUGUAAGACUGAAAAUGUUGUGAAUAGAAUCACAGUUCUUUUUCUCCAGAGAUUCUGUUUCACUAAACCUGAUGAUAUCAUAUGCUAUUUUAAA